GGCCCACCCCGAGGUCAGGAUGACUCAGCAGGGAUCGAGUUUGCGGGCGUCACGCUCCAAGGCCCGGAAUAGGAGGAGAAGACAGUGAGGCUGAGGGCUGCUCAACAUGCACAGUGAGCAGGAGAUACAAGCACGUGGAGGGACGGUCACAGCCCGUGCAACUGGCACCUUCACACACGGAGGCCUGUGAUUCCCAGACACCUGGCGCUGGGGCAAAUCCCAUUCCACAGCCAGAAACAGGCUCGGCAGGGCCAGGUGGAUUUCUCAAAGCCUUGGUUGCUUUUGGCCUGACGCUAGCUGGACAAUGUCUCAGCUCACAGGUUCCUAAACGCACACCCGCCCACACCAAUCUGCUGAGGAGUGACAGCCAUGGGGAGGAGACCCACCUCACUCCAGGGACCCUGGCACCGUCUCCCAUGAGGCCAGGUGUCCUCAGCCACCCGCAGCCAGAGUCCCGCGAGACCGAUGGACGGCCUGCCCCUGCGUGACGGCACGCCUGGGACUGUCCCAGCAGGCUCCCAUGCUUCACCCAACUGGGACAGGGAAACAGGAGGGGGCUACUUCUGCUUUCAAGGCAUGGAGGAGCUGUCUGCAGGCCACUUCCCGAACACCUAUGCGCUUGGGGAACUGACUGAGACUGAGCCGGGGUAUCUUCUCCACGAUGUGGUGAGCCCAUCAGGCCCUUCUUCUGAGAGCACCUCCCUGGAGGUGGAAGCCCCUGAGGCCCACAGCAUCUUCUGAACCUGUGAGUUCCCACUUACUGAGAGCUCGCCUGGGCCAGUGCCAGUCCACGGCUGUGGCCGGGACUUUGAGUAGAUGCUACCCUACUUGCUAUGCAGAGCCAGCUGGGGCCCAGGGAGGUCAGAUAAACUGCCCAAACCAAAUCCAGGCCCAGCCAGAAUCUCAACUCCAGCCUUUGCGCCUUCUGAUAAAACCCAGCAUUGCUUGAAUUUCCAGUACACGCUGCCAAGUCUUCAUCAAGCAAUAAAUAACCCACACAACCCUACUGUCAUGCCAAGUUCCAUAUGGCCAUCCAGAAAGAGACACAUGGAGCUGGUUCCUCUCAUCUUUAUGACCCGUGAAAAGCGCACCAACACGAAGACACGCGUGAAAGGACCUCAUCUCCUAACCAGACUGACAAGCAAGGGAUUUUUUCCACUCACCGUCAGUGGGAUGGUUCUAAGCACCGAGGCCAACCCAUUUCACACGAUUAUUUCACAAAAAGAAACUUUCUGUGGGACGUGCCUGGGCGACUGAAAAGACAGCCAGCAAAACUGAGAACCUUGUUCGCAAAUCCGUACCCUCUCCCAAGGCAGCCUCAGAGGCCCGAGGGCUGAGGAUCCAGACCCGAAAGCCACUGUACCUUCUGUAGGAUCAGGCUCAAGGACUAAGGGGGUAAAAGGUGCCCUUUCCCUUCCUAAGCAGAAAAUUCUGGAACCCAACCUUAUGUGUGAUCAUUUAAAAAAAAAAAAAAUCAGCUGGGUACACUGGCUCACGCCUGUAAUCCCAGCACUUUGGGAGGCCGAGGUGGGCGGAUCACCUGAGGUCAGGAGUUCGAGACCAGUCUGGCCAACAUGGAGAAACCCUGUCUCUACUAAAAAAUGCAAAAUUAACCAGGCAUGGUGGUGCAUGCCUGUAAUCCCAGCUACUCGGGAGGCUGAGGCAGGAGAGUCACUUGAACCCGGGAGGCAGAGGUUGCAGUGAGCCGAGAUCGU
rnacentral:lncRNA from 1 species